CGCUUAACAAGCUAGGUGGAGCUUGGGGAGAAAGCGGGUCAACCGAAUCAAGAAGGAAAAGAAAAGUGUAGCUUGGAUACGAGGUAAGUGUAACUUACACCUUUCGUAGAAUAAUUAGUUAUUCUAUAAGCUUUCUUUUAAUUCGAUAAAAACAAUAUUGGGAAAUAUGGAUUCCCGACGCAAUUGAUACGAGUCGGGGCAUAUGCAAUAUUUGGUAAAAACCAUGAUGAAGGGUAAACAUUGGAAAAUGGUAAUAUCGCCGUAAAUGAUAAGCAUACAAUGAAUCUGGAAAUGUUACCGUAUGGGGUAACUCAUGAUAAGGAAAGGGAUAAAAUGGUAAUUUAGUCAUGUGCCGACAAAUAUAAGUAAAAGUAAUAAGAUACCCUACGGCGUAAGUCGAAAUGGGUUAAAUAACGAAAUGGUAUAUAUAUGUAAAUAUAUACCAUUCUAAAUUCAAAUGCAAAAUGUUUGGUCGUUUAGACCAAACGGGUCAAAGGGUGACUUGUAGUGCCAUUUGACCAAUGACGACUAAUAAGUAUGUGUCAAGUCUUAUGCUUACAGGAUAAUAAUGGUUUAUGGAUUUAAAAUGCUACGAAUUAGCAUAUUAUAGAGGCAAGGUAUCGAAACGGGUCAAUAAAUUGACCCGAGCCAGGUACUUUUUGGAUGCCGGAAGACGAUCAAGCUCAACGCAGGACCGAACACGAUAUAGUUACAUGCUUCCGCAUUUUGCCACGUUGUAAAUUUUAAACAACAAAUUUCGGUCACGUUAUGUAGAAUAAAUUAUAAUUUGUAAAAGUUUCAAUAAACCCGAAUUUUUGUAA